GUUUGAUCCUGGCUCAGGAUGAACGCUGGCGGCGUGCCUAAUACAUGCAAGUCGAACGAGUUCUCGUUGAUGAUCGGUGCUUGCACCGAGAUUCAACAUGGAACGAGUGGCGGACGGGUGAGUAACACGUGGGUAACCUGCCCUUAAGUGGGGGAUAACAUUUGGAAACAGAUGCUAAUACCGCAUAGAUCCAAGAACCGCAUGGUUCUUGGCUGAAAGAUGGCGUAAGCUAUCGCUUUUGGAUGGACCCGCGGCGUAUUAGCUAGUUGGUGAGGUAAUGGCUCACCAAGGCGAUGAUACGUAGCCGAACUGAGAGGUUGAUCGGCCACAUUGGGACUGAGACACGGCCCAAACUCCUACGGGAGGCAGCAGUAGGGAAUCUUCCACAAUGGACGCAAGUCUGAUGGAGCAACGCCGCGUGAGUGAAGAAGGCUUUCGGGUCGUAAAACUCUGUUGUUGGAGAAGAAUGGUCGGCAGAGUAACUGUUGUCGGCGUGACGGUAUCCAACCAGAAAGCCACGGCUAACUACGUGCCAGCAGCCGCGGUAAUACGUAGGUGGCAAGCGUUAUCCGGAUUUAUUGGGCGUAAAGCGAGCGCAGGCGGUUUUUUAAGUCUGAUGUGAAAGCCCUCGGCUUAACCGAGGAAGCGCAUCGGAAACUGGGAAACUUGAGUGCAGAAGAGGACAGUGGAACUCCAUGUGUAGCGGUGAAAUGCGUAGAUAUAUGGAAGAACACCAGUGGCGAAGGCGGCUGUCUGGUCUGUAACUGACGCUGAGGCUCGAAAGCAUGGGUAGCGAACAGGAUUAGAUACCCUGGUAGUCCAUGCCGUAAACGAUGAAUGCUAGGUGUUGGAGGGUUUCCGCCCUUCAGUGCCGCAGCUAACGCAUUAAGCAUUCCGCCUGGGGAGUACGACCGCAAGGUUGAAACUCAAAGGAAUUGACGGGGGCCCGCACAAGCGGUGGAGCAUGUGGUUUAAUUCGAAGCAACGCGAAGAACCUUACCAGGUCUUGACAUCUUUUGAUCACCUGAGAGAUCAGGUUUCCCCUUCGGGGGCAAAAUGACAGGUGGUGCAUGGUUGUCGUCAGCUCGUGUCGUGAGAUGUUGGGUUAAGUCCCGCAACGAGCGCAACCCUUAUGACUAGUUGCCAGCAUUUAGUUGGGCACUCUAGUAAGACUGCCGGUGACAAACCGGAGGAAGGUGGGGAUGACGUCAAAUCAUCAUGCCCCUUAUGACCUGGGCUACACACGUGCUACAAUGGAUGGUACAACGAGUUGCGAGACCGCGAGGUCAAGCUAAUCUCUUAAAGCCAUUCUCAGUUCGGACUGUAGGCUGCAACUCGCCUACACGAAGUCGGAAUCGCUAGUAAUCGCGGAUCAGCACGCCGCGGUGAAUACGUUCCCGGGCCUUGUACACACCGCCCGUCACACCAUGAGAGUUUGUAACACCCGAAGCCGGUGGCGUAACCCUUUUAGGGAGCGAGCCGUCUAAGGUGGGACAAAUGAUUAGGGUGAAGUCGUAACAAGGUA
rnacentral:rRNA from 2 species